rnacentral:lncRNA from 1 species
AUGUGUUUUGAAAGAAAAAAGUCCAGUGGAAUGAGCUGUCUCUUCAGGAAUAAAUCAGAAGAGAAAAGGUACAACUUAGGAGCAAAACAAGUCCUGGAUUUAAAACCAUGGCAAGCAGACUUCUCCACCGGGUACAAGAAAUAUUGCUGGUUACCUUGUGUUUAUGUCUCCAAAAUGAGUAUGAACUAAACUGUUUUGAAAGCCAAAGAAGUCAAUUUUUGUGACACAAGACUAGGCUAGAAAAGAUGGCAAAGAUUUCAAGAAAUCUGAAACUGUUUUCAAAAAAUCUAUCCAAAUAUGAGGGAGCACAGAAAAAAUCUUUUAAACAGAUUAUUAGAGUUCAUGAAUUUACAGCUUUAUAAUUAUUUCAGUCCGCACUGAGGAAGUAGGCUGUACAACAGCCCUCUUAAAUUUUUUUUAUUGCUUUCUCAAAUACAUUUUACAGAAUUGACUUUACAAUCCAUUGACUGGUCAGUUCUUGCUGGGCUGAAUCAAUUGAUUAAAUGGAGAAAAUAAUAUAUAAUGUUUCCCUCAGGGGAAUGAUGAGAAUUAUGAUGUCAACUUUCACAAAAAUGGGCUGUAGCUUUUAUCUGCCUACUUUUGUUAAACUAUUUUUAAAAUUAAUUUAAGCAGUCUAUUAGUUCAAUAAAUGUUCAAUUUUAAAUACUAAAAGUUAUUACACUAUAAACCAUGAGAUAAAGAAUAUAUUUUGAUAAAAAGCCCCCAAAUUUCACCAACCAGACAGCUGAGACUCCCAAGUCUUCAUGAUAUCAUAUUGCAGUUAACAAUUAUGUCUAUUUAUAUAUUUACAAAGUCACUGUGAUAUCUGAGUAAUGGGUAAGUCAGGCUUUACCUUGUAAAUUAAGUCCUGCAAACUGACAAUGUUUUAAGAACUCUUAUUGUGCUCACUACUCAUUGCAGGUAUCUGAUAUGUCUGUUUUUUCUCCUCCCUAGAUUAUGCUAUUUUGUUAUAAUUUUUAAUCUUCUUAUUCUAACAAUUUUGAUACCUCAGUCCUUUCCAGAGAUGGAAGAGAUACCAGUCAAUCACAAAUAAAUAAAGAAUGUAUGUGAACCAGAUGCUUAUGGCAUAGAUCAUUUUUAUAGGCAUGACAAUUAGGUGGCUACCAUUUAAGGUAUGUUCCUAGAAUAUUUUACAGUAUAUUUUCCAGUCUUAAUUACAAACUUUAGAAAAUAAUUUGAAUAAAAUAGAAAAUGUCUACAGUAUUAUGGAAUUUCCUUCUCAUCAUAUUUGAGAAUCUGUUGUAAAAGCAUGUAAUUAGAACAAAACAAAAAUACUUGCUGACACAUUUUUCUAGGACUUCUGGCCAAAGCAAUAAGGCAAGAAAAAUAAAUGAAACUGAUUAGAAAAUAUAUUAGUAAUAUAAAAUUAGUAGCUAAAAACAAAAUUUUAUUAGCUUAUCGUUCUGGA